rnacentral:tRNA from 1 species
GCUGGUGUAGCUCAGUUGGUAGAGCAGCCGCCUUGUAAGCGGCAGGUCGCGGGUUCGAUCCCCGCCGCCAGCU